AUCCGGGCGCAGCGCGGCAUGCAGCCGCGGGCUCCGGGGCCGGAGUGAGGGUUGUCGGCGCGGGGCCCCGCCAUGGCUGGCAAGGACAGCGGUAACCUGAAGACGGUGAGGUUGUGGCGGGACGCCGCCCUGCGCGCCAGGAAGCUGCGGAGCAACCUGCGCCAGCUCACGCUCAGCUGCCCAGGGGCCGGGGGCGACCCGCUCGGCUCCCCCGAAGCCCCCCAGCUGGUGCUGCCGGCCAACCUCGGGGAUAUCGAGGUGCUGAACCUGGGGAACAACGGCCUGGAGGAUGUGCCUGAAGGUCUGGGGUCGGCUCUGGGCAGCCUUCGCGUCUUGGUCUUGCGCAGGAACCGCUUCGUCCGGCUGCCCCCCGCCGUGGCGGAGCUGGGCCACCACCUGACCGAGCUGGACGUGAGCCACAACCGGCUGACCGGCCUCGGGGCCGAGGUGCUGAGCGCGCUGAGGGAGCUGCGCAAGCUCAACCUCAGCCACAACCAGCUGCCGGCCCUGCCCGCCCAGCUGGGGGCCCUCGCCCACCUGGAGGAGCUGGAUGUCAGUUUCAACCGGCUGGCCCGCCUACCAGAUUCCUUCUCCUGCCUCAACCACCUGCGCGCCCUCGACGUGGACCACAACCAGCUCACCGCCUUCCCCCGGCAGCUGCUGCAGCUGGCCGCCCUGGAGGAGCUGGACGUCUCCAGCAACCGGCUGCGGGGCCUCCCGGAGGACAUCAGUGCCCUGCGGGCCCUCAAGAUUCUCUGGCUUAGCGGGGCCGAGCUUGGCACCCUGCCCGGCGGCUUCUGUGAGCUGACCAGUUUGGAGAGCCUCAUGUUGGACAACAACGGGCUGCAGGCUCUACCCCCCGAGUUCAGCCGCCUGCAGAGGCUCAAAAUGCUCAACCUCUCGUCCAACCUCUUUGAGGAGUUCCCCGCUGCGCUGCUGCCCCUGGCUGGUCUGGAGGAGCUCUACCUUAGCCGCAACCAGCUCACCUCAGUGCCCUGUCUUAUCUCCGGGCUGGGCCGGCUCCUCACCCUGUGGCUGGAUAAUAACCGCAUCCGGUACCUGCCGGACUCCAUUGUGGAGCUGACGGGCCUGGAGGAGCUGGUGCUUCAAGGCAACCAGAUCGCCGUUCUGCCUGACAACUUCGGCCAGCUCUCCCGGGUAGGCUUGUGGAAAAUCAAGGACAACCCCCUGAUUCAGCCCCCUUACGAAGUCUGCAUGAAGGGGAUCCCCUACAUCGCGGCCUACCAGAAGGAACUGGCGCACUCGCAGCCGGCCGUGCAGCCCCGCCUCAAGCUGCUCCUGAUGGGCCAGAAGGCUGCGGGCAAGACCCUGCUUCGACACUGCCUCACUGAGGACAAAGUGGAGGGAGGCCAAGGAGGAGGGGACAAGGAGAAGAGCUACCUACCUUUCCCUCCCCUCGGGAGCAAGGGCAUCGAGGUGACCAGCUGGACCGCCGACGCUUCCCGGGGUCUGCGCUUCAUCGUGUACGACUUGGCCGGCGACGAGAGCUACGAGGUGAUACAGCCCUUCUUCCUCUCCCCGGGGGCCCUGUAUGUGCUCGUGGUCAACCUGGCCACCUACGAACCCCGCUCCUUCCCCACGACGGUGGGCUCCUUCUUGCAUCGGGUGGGGGCCCGCGUGCCUCACGCCGUCGUGUGCAUCGUGGGCACGCACGCGGACCUGUGUGGGGAGCGGGAGCUGGAGGAGAAGUGUCUGGACAUCCACCGGCAGAUUGCACUGCAGGAGAAGCACGAUGCCGAGGGCCUAAGCCAGCUAGCCAAGGUGGUGGACGAGGCCCUGGCCCGGGACUUCGAGCUGCGUUCGGCCAGCCCGCAUGCAGCCUACUACGGGGUCUCGGACAAGAACCUGCGGAGGCGCAAGGCCCAUUUUCAGUACCUGCUUAACCACCGGCUGCAGAUCCUGUCUCCCGUGUUGCCGGUCAGCUGCCGGGACCCCCACCAGCUGCAACGCCUCCGCGACAAGCUGCUCUCCGUAGCGGAGCACCGGGAAAUCUUCCCCAACUUACACCGAGUCCUGCCCCGGUCCUGGCAGGUGCUGGAGGAACUGCACUUCCAGCCCCCGCAGGCGCAAAGGCUGUGGCUGAGCUGGUGGGACUCGGCCCGCCUGGGCCUGCAGGCCGGCCUCACCGAGGACCGCCUGCAGAGCGCCCUGUCCUACCUGCACGAGAGCGGCAAGCUGCUCUACUUCGAGGACAGCCCGGCCCUCAAGGAGCACGUCUUCCACAACCUCACCCGCCUCAUCGACAUCCUCAAUGUCUUCUUCCAGAGAGACGCUUCUUUGCUGCUGCAUAAACUGCUCCUGGGGACCAGUGGAGAGGGCGAGGGGGAAGCGGAGAGCAUCCUCGCUCCGGCAGCGCCCAGCCCGGGGCAGGACCCACUCCGGGCCACCCAGCUUCAUCAUUACGUGGAAGGCUUCCUGUUGCACGGGCUCCUGCCGGCCCACGUCAUUCGGCUCCUGCUGAAGCCUCACGUGCAGGCCCAGCAGGACCUGCAGCUCCUGCUGGAGCUGCUGGAGAAGAUGGGGCUCUGUUACUGCCUCAACAAACCCAAAGGCAAGCCCCUGAACGGCUCCACCGCUUGGUACAAGUUCCCUUGCUACGUGCAGAACGAGGUGCCCCACGCGGAGGCCUGGAUUAACGGGACCAACCUAGCCGGGCAGUCUUUUGUGGCCGAACAGUUGCAGAUCGAAUAUAGUUUCCCCUUUACCUUUCCCCCCGGGUUGUUCGCACGCUACAGCGUCCAGAUCAACAGCCACGUGGUGCAUAGGUCAGAUGGGAAGUUUCAGAUCUUCGCCUACAGAGGGAAAGUCCCUGUGGUGGUGAGCUACAGGCCUGCCAAGGGGGUCCUGCAGCCAGACACCCUGUCCAUUGCCAGCCAUGCGUCCUUACCAAACAUAUGGACCGCGUGGCAAGCCAUCACCCCUUUGGUAGAGGAACUGAAUGUCCUACUUCAGGAAUGGCCCGGACUGCACUAUACGGUGCACAUCCUCUGUUCUAAGUGCCUUAAGAGAGGGUCACCCAACCCACACGCUUUCCCAGGCGAGUUGCUGAGCCAGCCCAGGCCAGAAGGGGUGGCAGAGAUCAUUUGCCCCAAGAAUGGCAGCGAGCGAGUGAAUGUGGCUCUGGUUUACCCACCUACACCGACUGUGAUCAGCCCUUGUUCCAAGUAUCUCCAUACUUUCUUGGAAAAUUAAGUGGAAAAGAUAGUGCUUCUUUCCCUCUGCCACCAUUUUUACUGUGCCCAAUCUGUGACUUUAGGAGCACCAAGUUUUAAGGGAAGAACGUUGGUGAAAAGCACAGAAACCAAUGACAUUCGUGGCUGAGGAAUUUCCAUGGAACAAACAGAGCAUGGGAACUGACCGGGACAGCUGCUGCCCCUGAUGAGCCUGCCAUGCUCCCAAAGCACCUUCUGGGGUCCAGAGUGAAACGGUGCACCUGGGUGCUUGUAGAGGACUCUUCGAGGGGCUGGAGGGGGCUGGGAAGAUGGGGGCGAAUAUGGAGCAAACGUUUCACAACCCGAACCUCAGAACUGUGAUCCUCCAAGAAGAGAGCUACUUGAAGAAAAGAAAAAAAAAAAAAAAACAAAACAAAACAUAAAACAAAAACAAACAAAAUCCACAAACGUUAAAUGGCUUCUCAGGGAUUGUUUUCUGUGUACACAUGAGCCAUAGCUCUGGUCCAGGUGGCAGUAUUUAGAGCACUCAGAUUUCAGUUCUGUUCAAUGUGAAGGAGGGAUCAACUGACAUUCAUCGCUGUUCGGUAACUAGUGUAAAAUAUGUAUAUGUUAAUCUUUAUUUUUAUAAUAUGCAAAUACAUUUAAAUUUAUACAGUUUGACGCUUCUAGCAUUAGUUGACACUGGGUGCAAUAUUCUUCAUGAGAACUGUGCCAAGAUGGGGCUGGUGUCUUCUUUUAGUGUUAGACUUUUUGUUCUUUUCGUCAUCCUUUAGCCCGCCUUCUCAACUGAAAAGGAAAGGGAAGCUAGCCUCUUCCUGUCAGGCCACACAUAGGUUCAGUGUUGGUUCCUAGGACUCUCUAAUAAUCUCCAGGAACGUUCAGCCUGUUGAGACAGAGAACCCCCUCCCAACUUUUCAUCACACCGCCCUGCUUUUCAGUCACUGGACACGGUGGUAGAAUAGGUCCUACCCUCUCCCCACACACCAACAGUGCCGGGGCAGAGGGAAGCAUUCCUAGGGACCAAACGGGGUGAAGGAUCCAUGAACGCCUGAAUCGUGGAACAAUCUGAGAUCCUGUGAGUUCAGUUCUGAAUCUCGAGGUGAUUCUACUGUUAUGUACCCCGUUUUUCCACCAGGCUCCCCUGGAGCAGUGCGCAUGAUUUAGCAGAGCCCUGCACAAACCUCUGAACCUCCGGAUCUUAAAGCGUCCUUUCUCGAAACUCCGUCCCGCAUUGGCUGUUUAUUCAUUCAGAGCCAGUUGGAGGAUAUCUGCUACCAGGAUCUGGUAGCGCCCUUGUUUUGAAAGCUCCAGGAGGUAAAUAUUUAAAAACAACCCCACUCCACCUCCUCCAGGUUGCUCUCCUGUGUCCUCCUAGUUGGGGCCAAGCAGCAUAUGCUACAAGUCUAGUAACACAUCCUUCUGAAGAAGGUAAAGGACUCUGUUUCCAUCGACAACUCUGUGUGUUGACAGGAAGCAUGUAAACCUUGAUGGUUCCCCACAAGAAAAGUGAGUCAGCUGGGCUUCCUUGUCCACUUGUUUAUAAAGUAUUGACUCUUUGAAUGCCAAGGCACCCACGGUCACCACCAGUUCUUAAUUGAAGUUCAGGCAGGCAGCUGCACUGUGAGAAAUUACAACCCAACUUGUGUUGAAUCUGCCCUGUGGGCUUCACUGCCCCGAGAGGCCCAUUCUGAAAAGGUGAUUUCUUGGAAAUCCAAAUCCAGUGGGGGAUUGUCUCUUUUUGUGUUUUGAGUACUUGAAUAGUCCAGAAACUCCAGUCGGAGAUUUCUUUUUUCCUUUUAGAACACAGGCGCAGGCUGGAUCGGAAUCUGGUUGGUCUCUUUUGUCACAGUUCUCAUGUGUGUGUGCGGGCGCAAGUGUAAAGUGAAGGGUUAAUGUUUUUUUUCUCACUUUACAGACCACUGAGCUAUUGGGCGAUAGGUUUUCUUUUUAAUUGGCAUCAGACAGUUCGGAAACUGUCCAACCAACAAACAUUGACCGGUCUUAUGUCCUAUGUGACUUUGGGCUUGCUCCCCAGAGGCUCUUCCGGCGAGCACCCCCUGCAGGUGGUUGCUGUUUGCAUGAGUGCAGAUGCCCGUGUUCUGAAUAUCUGCUACUUUUUUUUGACAAGUGAUGUUUUGUGUUGUCAUCUGAACCCUAGAGAAGCAGUGUAGAUGAGGGAACCUUGGUCGUCAUACGUGUUGUGGCCAGGGUCGGCACGGUCAGAGGGUCGUGUGCCUGAAAAAGCUCCAGCGAAACGUGAGAACUGACCUCAGUGCGUGGGGGAGGGUGGAGAUACAGAAGCCGCUCUGCUCACGAGGAAUUUCGGCCUCUGCAUCGGAAGUUCCCGUUCCCUGGUGUCACACACCCGGGAAGCCUCAGCCGCCACAAGCUGAGGGACCAUCCACUAAGCACAAGAGGAGUUCCUUCUCCCCUCCGAGCCCCUGGCCUCUCAAAGGCUCUCCAAGUUUGUUAUGGUUUCUAUUCCUGCAACUAGUGGCAUCCAAGCCACUUCCUGGGAUUGUAAAAAAUGCUGCCAGAAUAAAUGUUUUCCCCUUCUAAGGAAAAAAAAAGAAAAAAAAAGACAGUGCUCAUGUUUGACACGUGCACUGGACUCUUUCGAAUGAAUAAAGAGGAAGGGCUCGACGUGAUUCCAAUGGAGUGUGUGUUUUUCAUGCUGCCGUCUGUGAAUUGUAAUUGUGGUUUCCCAGUUCAUUGCCCUAACAGGGCAGAAAUUAAAAAAAAAACAAAAACAAAAACAAAAACAAAACAAUAAAAAAACACAAUGAAAUGGUUAAGCCAA